rnacentral:rRNA from 1 species
UACGGAAGGCAGCAGUGGGGAAUAUUGCACAAUGGGCGAAAGCCUGAUGCAGCUAUGCCGCGUGUAUGAAGAAGGCCUUAGGGUUGUAAAGUACUUUCAUCGGGGAGGAAAAACAAAACUAAUAAUUUUAUUUCUUGACGUUACCCGAAAAAGAAGCACCGGCUAACUCCGUGCCAGCAGCCGCGGUAAUACGGAGGGUGCUAGCGUUAAUCAGAAUUACUGGGCGUAAAGAGCACGUAGGUGGUUUUUUUAAGUCAGAUGUGAAAUCCCUGGGCUUAACCUAGGAACUGCAUUUUUGAAACUGAAAUACUAGAGUAUCGUAGAGGGAGGUAGAAUUCUAGGUGUAGCGGUGAAAUGCGUAGAUAUCUGGAGGAAUACCUGUGGUGAAAGCGGCCUCCUAAACGAAUACUGACACUGAGUGCGAAAGCGUGGGGAGCAAACAGGGAUUAGAUACC